rnacentral:rRNA from 1 species
CGGCGGACGGGUGAGUAACACGUGGAUAACCUACCUAUAAGACUGGGAUAACUUCGGGAAACCGGAGCUAAUACCGGAUAAUAUAUUGAACCGCAUGGUUCAAUAGUGAAAGACGGUUUUGCUGUCACUUAUAGAUGGAUCCGCGCCGCAUUAGCUAGUUGGUAAGGUAACGGCUUACCAAGGCAACGAUGCGUAGCCGACCUGAGAGGGUGAUCGGCCACACUGGAACUGAGACACGGUCCAGACCUCCUACGGGAGGCAGCAGCC